GAAUAGUAAUCAUGGCUCUAUAAAAGGAGAUGACCAUAGGCAUCAAUCACAGAUCACAAACAAGUAACUAACUUGCUAGUUGUUUGAGUAAAGAAUUGAAGGAGUGGAAUGGCUACAAAUCAGGAAGAGGUGAAGCUUUUGGGAAUUGUGGGAAGCCCAUUUGUGUGCAGAGUGCAGAUUGCUCUUAGUUUGAAGGGAAUUGAAUACAAAUAUCAGCCAGAAAAGUUGGACAACAAGAGUGAUCUGCUCCUCAAAUACAACCCAGUUUACAAGAAGGUUCCUGUUUUUGUUCAUAAUGAGAAACCCAUAUCAGAAUCCCUUGUGAUUGUUGAGUACAUUGAUGAAACAUGGAAAGACCACCCCAUCUUGCCUGCUGAGCCUUACCAGAAAGCCUUGGCUCGUUUCUGGUCCAAGUUCAUAGAUGACAAGUGUGUGGCUGCUGCAUGGAAAGCUGCAUUCACCCUUGAUGAGAAAGAGCGUGAGAAGAGUGUUGCAGAAUCAUAUGAGGCUCUGCAGUUCCUUGAGGAUGAGCUCAAGGACAAGUUCUUUGGUGGUGAGGAAUUUGGCUUUGUGGAUAUUGCUGCUGUGUUCAUAGCCUUCUGGAUCCCUAUUAUUCAAGAAGUAGCAGGGCUGCAAUUGUUCACCAGUGACAAAUUUCCCAAGCUCUACAAAUGGAGCCAAGAAUUUAGCAACCACCCUGUUGUGAAGGAAUCCCUGCCUCCUAGAGAGCCACUCUUUGCCUUCUUCAAAGCUCGCUAUGAAAGUCUUGCUGCUUCAAAGUAGAUUCAUUUAAGAGAUACUCAUAAUUUGCAAGGGAAACUGUAAAAGGUUUCGGAAUCCGAAUAUGAACAAGGAGGGGUAACUACUUCAGGCUAGUUUGUGCUAGAGAGGGUCGUCCACGACAAAAAAAUGAUAAAGAUGUUGCUCAAGUUUGUUAGACCAAAUUUAAGAAGACAUCAUCAUUAUGCAUUGGGUGUGGAGCUUGUGUAAGUGCUUAUAAAAGUGAAAACACAAAAAUGUGAAAAAUUACACAAUUUUACGACAACCAUAAUCAUGGUCUUGUGACUCCAAAGAGUGUUUGUUAUCUCAGAUCACACAAAAAAAUGUUUGAUGCUGCAAGAUUAUUGGUUGAACACUUUAGUGAUGCAAGCUUGCCCACAGGAAAAGUGGCUACCAUCUUCAAAGACGAUGAGUUAUCAUUUGACAGUCGAGAUUGUUAUAAUCAUCUAAAAAGUGAGGAGAAGAAUAUAUAACACAGGAGAUGCACAAGCUAUGUUACACUAUUGUGUUAAACAACAACCAUUGAAUCCAAAGUUCUUUUAUUCCAUUAAAUGUGACGAUGAAGAUCGCAUGGAAAGCUUUUUUUGGAUUGACGCAAGGUCCAGGCAAGCUUAUGAGCUAUUUGGUGAUGUCAUCACAUUUGACACGACAUACAGAACUAAUAAAUAUUCAAUGCCAUUUGGACCUUUUGUCGGUGUAAAUAAUCAUUUACAGUCAAUCUUGUUUGGAUGUGCUUUAUUGAAAGACGAAACAGAAGAUACUUUUGUGUGGCUAUUUAAGGAAUGGCUUCGAGGAAUGGAUGGGAAACAUCCGGGCACCAUAAUUACUGAUCAGGACAUGUCAAUUACCAAUGCAGUAUCCAAAGUUUUCCAAAAAAGCAAGCAUCGAUUUUGUAUGUGGCACAUCACAAAAAGUUUCCAGAAAAAUUGUCUCAUGUCUAUCAGCAGCAUGCCACAUUUAAGAGUGAUUUCA